rnacentral:lncRNA from 1 species
AUGCAACUAGAGGCAGUGAAGGAGUUAGAGGAGCGACUGGAAGCUGUUAAAGAGGAGCGGAGCCAGCUGAAGACUGACCUUCAGGACAAUGUAGACAUGGUGAGGAAAUAUUAUGCACUGCGUUAUUCAUAAGAGACGUGAGAUUGAAAUGUGCUUGUUGCACAAAGAUUUUAAUCAGUAAUCUGCUCUUACUCUACUUUUAUGAAAUGUGUGCAUGUAAAUGCAAUUAAUUUUUUAACCAUUGUUUUAGUUGAUUGAGAAUCAAGAGGAACUAAGGGAGGCUCAAGAGAAGAUCAAAUCGCUACAGGGGAAAAUCCAACGACUUCAGACUCAGAAUGCAGAUGUUGAGACAAGAUUGAACAACAUAAAUGUUCCAGAGAAUACGUCCUGUCUAGGAGAGCUGCAAAACCAGAUAAGGCAGCUGAAUGAGGAGCUAAAGUCUGUACGAGCUGAGAGCGAGCGUCUCCUGUCUGAGACGACAGAUGGCUCUCAGAAUCAUGCAGGGGAGUUGGAGAAGCUGCUCUCUACUGUGACCUCACUGACUGAAGAGAGAGACCAGCUCCAGGAGAUACUGGAGGGAAUCCGAGAGGAGAGGAACCAGCUCAAGAGAGACCUGGAGGACAAAGUGGAGAUGAUCAUACAAGUACAUACAGAACCUAAACAUCAGCAACAUCUGUACUCAGAGCAACCGACUGAGAGGGAACAUCAAGAAGCUCAACUUCAGCAGCAAGUUAGUCUGUCUAUAAUUUUAUAUGGUGAUGUUAGAAUAUUGUUGAAACACUGGAUACCUUCAUUUGUAUUUAAAUGUUUAACUUUGGUGCAGCUAGGAGAGGAACUGGAAACCAUGACACAGGAGCGGUGUCAGUUGAAGGGUGACCUGCAGGAACAUCUGGAGAUGGCUGCAGAGACUCAGGGACUUCUCCAUUCCAUCCAAGAGGAGCUCAGACAACAGAGACAAGUGAACUCUGACCUUGAGAGCCAAAGUUUACAGAAGGAGUCUCUUCUAGAACAGCAGGUUAAUAGCCUUUUUCCUUUGUGA